ACUGCGACGGCUUAUUGU
rnacentral:sRNA from 1 species